rnacentral:misc_RNA from 1 species
AAGAAGGGAUUAAGUUGAUAAGAUUCGUUUAGUUUUGAGUGUUCAAGGAAUACUCAAGCACAAUGAAAACAGAAUAUAUAUAUUAGAUCAAAAAUUUCUAAAGAAAACAGAAAAAACCGAGAAAAAAGUAAAUAAGUAAGAAAAGACUUAUUCACAAGAGUUCAAGGAAGAAGAACGAAGCGAAGAAAGCUACACACGA